UUUCUGUUGAAUCCAGCAGUUUAUUUCACUUUGUCUAUUUCACAGUGUAGUUUGGGUAGUAAGAUGAGUGGCGUGGCCUCAUGUCACUUAUCACGGAGUUUGGAUACAGGAGAGGACUAACUCGUCCAGAAUAACAAGACAAACAGGCUGCUCACCUCGCCCUCGCCCAGCCCUGCCCCGUGUGCAGAAGCAGUACUCCCUGGGUGAUAACUGAAAAUGCUAUGCUUAUUCUUAAACAAGGUUUCCAGCGACCAUGAGCUUUCUCUUGGUGAGCCUUCAUUUUCCUGAAUCAGCAGUGCUCUCCCUAUCAUGGGACAAGACCCCAGAGACCCCGCCCCCACCCCCAUGAGUUAGAGGGCAAAGUCUGUAGCCCAAAUUCUCCCCUUGGGCCCAUAGAGCCCUAGGAUGCGCCCGUGGGGAGGCUGUGGGCACCGUGCCACUGUGUGCACAAUUUGGGGGUGGACUGUAUGAAGAUAGCACAGAACUCUUGGUAGAGUUAAGAAUCCUGUGAUCCGUAAAAGGUUAAGAGUUUGUGUUGCUGAAGUGUUAGGUCCUGUUCAAGACAGUUUUCCAAGGAAAACCUCCCGAAAGCCAAAUCUAAACUGGAG
rnacentral:lncRNA from 1 species